UUAAAAAAAAAAAAAAUUAUGUUUUAAAAUUUUGUUACUAAGUUAUUCCAUUUAAAAGAGCGGGUUCUUAAAAUCUCGUUCAUGUACCUACCUAUAUACAUUGUCAUUCGUUCAGACCAAUGCGAUUCUGGUAUUUCAUUCGUCUUAUAAUUUCUGAUCAAUAAUCGAUCGAUAACUACCUAAUGGUAGUUUAGUAGAUUUAAUAUAUAGCACAAUAUCACUAACCAUAACAUAAUAAUAAUAAUUUAUAAAGCAGACAUUUCCAGACCUCACAAAUUAAUAUCAAAAAU
rnacentral:misc_RNA from 1 species